rnacentral:lncRNA from 1 species
CAACGACAAAGGCGCUUGCCAUGCUCGUCUGCUCGGAGAUUUGACGAGAGCGCAAUCGUCGGAUUUUUGAUAAAAUAGAGCUGGCGAUCAGUAGCGUCCUGGUUUUGAUCAUAGAUGAGUCCUUCAUCUGGAAGCUGGUCGGCUGCCCCAUCUAGUUCGACCUAGGCUGAGGCGUAUUUUAAUUGUGUUUGUCAAGGGCCAUAUGCAAAGCAUGGCCCUGUAGGUCUUUUUAUUUUGUGGUUCCCGCAUGUUUAUCUUUCUUUCUUCUCCUUUGCUUUGGUCCGCUGCUAUCAGUAUUUUCGCUCAUGUACUUCGCCUUUGAGCAACUCCUUCUGAAAUGGAAUUUUAGCAGUUCUCCUGUUAAAUUUAGAAAAAAACAUUUUGUUUUCUUAGUACACGUCAUUGGUAUGUUGCAGGUUUAGGCAUUUUGGUUUAGCUACGUUUACUAAUUUCAAACAAUUGUAGCACGUUUAUUACAUCUAGAAAAAAAAAA